AAAUCGGAAAAGAGAGUUAAACAGCACGUGAAAUUGUUGAAAGGGAAGCGUUGUCCACCAGACUCGCCCGGGGGGAGGUUCGGCCGGCACGUGUGCCGGUGUACGUAGGUUUGGGCGGCUGGUGAAAGGCCCCGGGAAUGUGCCACCCUUCGGGGUGCCUUAUAGCCCGGGGUGCCAUACAGCCAGCCUGGACCGAGGCCCGCGCUUCGGCGACGAUGCUGGCGUCAUGGUGGUCAACGGUCUGUCUUGAAACACGG
rnacentral:ncRNA from 1 species